GUGCUUGCUUUAGCAGCACACAUACUAAAUUUGGAAUGAUACAGAGACGAUGAGCAUGGCCCCUGCCCAAGAAUGACUUGCAAAUUCAUGAAGCAUUCCAUGUUUUU